AAAAUAAUGCAAAAGUCAUAAUUAUCCUAAAAGUAGACUUAUUAUCAUCAGGUAAAAUGUUUUAUUUGCUUAAUUUUUGAUUUGAUUUGAUUUUAGAGGUGAAAUAUCUGAUUGUUUUUGUGGGAUUCGCGCUAAUAUCUGCCAUCUUUCACCGAAGCACAAGCCGCUUGUGUUUUUCAUCGUGGAUUUCUGAAGUAUCGGAAAACGCUGGAUAAUAUUUUCUCUGUGUGUGCGAGCAGCUGGUUUUAUAUCACAGCUCUGGGAAAGGUGUCUUUAUGCAGCGUCUGAGCAUUUCAGCCGUGUUUUAACACGUUUCUGAGGCCAUCUAUCAAUUUGCUUUGGAUUUGAUCCUUUAAUUUGGUUUCUUUAGAGCAGAUUUUGCUCACACCAUAAACAAUCUGACUAGUACGUAGUUAACAAUCUCAGAUUUAUGAGCGAUUCAUUGCUUAAAGUCGAUCAACUCGAUGAAUUUCCUGCCACUUCUUGUCAAUAUUUCUACACAAAGUAGAAAAAACAGAUCGCAAGGGUCUUUACAAGACGACCCCGAGUUGUUGUUGUUGUUGUUUUUACUUCUUUUACAAAGUUCUGUUCAAUGUUUGUUCACUUGUUUUUGUUAUUAUCUGUCUUGAUUUUAAACGUUAGAUAAAUGGCGCUGAAGUACGCCAGGAACAAAUUGUGUUUCAUGUUUCUGUUGCAGUUUUAUAACGGGAGAUCUUGGAAAUAAUUUGAUGCCAACUUUGCCAAAAUAUUCCUUCUUGUCUAUAAGGUGAAUAAUCACUGUGCCCAAAUGUGGAUGUUUUCGAUCCGAAUCGAAAGGAAACACAGUUCCGAGUUCAUCUCUAGAGAUCGUUUUCUUUUCUUCGUUAGUACUAACAUCGUCUUUUACAACUAAAAGAUGAUUAUAUGAAUUAUUCUUGGAUAUGUAUUGCAAAAAUGUAAACUCUUAAAGGAGCGAGAGAGUGGCCUUCCUCAUUCUCCGGCGGCGGGGAGUGAUUCUGUACUAGUGCCUGCAUGGUUUUGUUCAGUUUUAUCCUGGAGUCAGUCAGGUUUUUAUCCAGAAGUCACGUCUUGUGGCUUCGACUUGAGAAUAUUUUAUAAAUUCACAUGAGGAGGGACGUGAGGAUUCCAGAUGUAUGUUAAGCGAAUUCCUGUUCCUCUGAGCAAAUAAAGUACUUUCUUUGUAAAUCUGUUUGUGUCAAUUCUGUUCGUCCAGCUUCAUCUCGAGUGAUUUUGAUCAAGUAAAGGUCAGAAUAACUGCAGUAAUAUCUCCAGAUGAACUCUUACUGGACUGAAGCAGCUCAGCUUUACUUGAUUCUCCAUCAAUCAUGUUUUAGAGUCUCAAAUCUGAUCCUCAGGAUCUUUUGAGGAGCGUUUGUUUCCAGAAGCUUUACUUUCACUGUUCCUCAGCGGAGGAAUGAUCUUCACAAGCCUCCAGAACAUCUCACAUCUUCUGAGGAGCCUUUAUUUCUUCAACUCUCAAUCACUGCAUUAUAUGUUUGGAGCAUCUUACUGAGAUGCAUGUGACCCUGGAGCACAAAACCAAUCAUAAGGGUCGAUUUUUUAAAAUUGAGAUUUAUACAUCAUCUGAAAGCUGAAUAAAUAAUCUAAACAUAUACAUACAUAAACAUAACAUUGAUGUAGUGUUGAACUUAAUGAACUGAAAGUGCUUGAAAUUGCUUAAUGCAAUCCAGAGAAAAAGGUAGCACGAAAUUAAUGCAUUAAAAAAGCAAUUAGUUACUUUUUAGGGAGUAGUGCAUUAUCGUAAUGCAUAAAGUAGUGCUAUUCUUCACACGUGUUCACUCUCAUAUCGCCUCCUGCUGGACAUCAAGCUACUUUUCUGUUCGUUUUUAAAUGAAUACUUUUUAUUCAUACGCAUCUUUUUCGUGACGUGUUGAGUUAAACCUUUAAGAAAAAAACAAAUCAAAUAAAAUAAGACUUUAAACCACGCAAAUUAUUUCAACUAAGACUUUUAAUUUGUAAGUAACAGCCGCUCCAUAAGGAGCUUCCGCGCGCGUCGCUCAGUUGAUGACGCUUCUUCCGUAGUUUCCUGCGCGAUUUCUCCCUCCGCUCUC
rnacentral:lncRNA from 1 species